rnacentral:ncRNA from 1 species
GUUUCGGGCGAGGGAUCUUUGGGAGGUCUCUCUGGUAUGGAAACGAAAACUGUCCCGAUCUGGCACUGCCGCGGACGCCCAAACCGUGUGUUGU